CCACGGAGUGAUUCAUGACUGGGGUGAAGUCGUAACAAGGUAACCGUAGGGGAACCUGCGGUUGGAUCACCUCCUUACCUUAAA
rnacentral:rRNA from 1 species